rfam:Triticum aestivum genome assembly, contig: Triticum_aestivum_CS42_TGACv1_scaffold_230230_3B
UUUGUACUCCCUCCGUCCCAAAAUUCUUGUCUUAAAUUUGUCUAAAUACGGAUGUAUCUAGUUACAUUUUAGUGUUAGAUACAUCCGUAUCUAAACAAAUGUAAGACAAGAAUUUUGCGACGAAGGGAAUACUAC